CAUGCAAGUCGAGGGGAAACGACAUCGAAAGCUUGCUUUUGAUGGGCGUCGACCGGCGCACGGGUGAGUAACGCGUAUCCAACCUGCCCACCACUUGGGGAUAACCUUGCGAAAGUAAGACUAAUACCCAAUGAUAUCUCUAGAAGACAUCUGAAAGAGAUUAAAGAUUUACCGGUGAUGGAUGGGGAUGCGUCUGAUUAGCUUGUUGGCGGGGUAACGGCCCACCAAGGCAACGAUCAGUAGGGGUUCUGAGAGGAAGGUCCCCCACAUUGGAACUGAGACACGGUCCAAACUCCUACGGGAGGCAGCAGUGAGGAAUAUUGGUCAAUGGACGAGAGUCUGAACCAGCCAAGUAGCGUGCAGGAUGACGGCCCUAUGGGUUGUAAACUGCUUUUAUAAGGGAAUAAAGUGAGUCUCGUGAGACUUUUUGCAUGUACCUUAUGAAUAAGGACCGGCUAAUUCCGUGCCAGCAGCCGCGGUAAUACGGAAGGUCCGGGCGUUAUCCGGAUUUAUUGGGUUUAAAGGGAGCGU
rnacentral:rRNA from 1 species